GACGAACGCUGGCGGCGUGCUUAACACAUGCAAGUCGAACGGUGAACCCGGAGCUUGCUCCGGUGGAUUAGUGGCGAACGGGUGAGUAACACGUGAGUAACCUGCCCUUGACUCUGGGGUAACUGCGGGAAACUGUAGCUAAUACCGGAUACGACCCUCGGCGGCAUCGCCAGGGGGUGGAAAGAAUUUCGGUCAAGGAUGGACUCGCGGCCUAUCAGCUAGUUGGUGAGGUAACGGCUCACCAAGGCGACGACGGGUAGCCGGCCUGAGAGGGUGACCGGCUACACUGGGACUGAGACACGGCCCAGACUCCUACGGGAGGCAGCAGUGGGGAAUAUUGCACAAUGGGCGCAAGCCUGAUGCAGCAACGCCGCGUGAGGGAUGACGGCCUUCGGGUUGUAAACCUCUUUUAGUAGGGAAGAAGCGAAAGUGACGGUACCUGCAGAAAAAGCACCGGCUAACUACGUGCCAGCAGCCGCCGUAACAC
rnacentral:rRNA from 1 species